CUGCUGAUGCCGUCGACCUUGGUCGCUCUGCACCCCACUCCAACGCCCUCGUCGACGUGCUGCCUCCCGUGGCGCUCUUCAACAUCUCGCUGCUCGGGCCGUCGGUGAAACUAACGUUUUAUUAUACUCGGGCUCAUGAUAUCCAAUUUGGAGACCUUGCUCUCCACUGCUGUUGCAAUAAUGCAAGUGAGAAAGAAGGAACAAAGACGUGCCUCAACUCUUAGCAUGCCAGAAGUUGUCCACUUGGUUGAUAUGAGAUCAUGCUUACCAAAAGCAAAAUUCCUGUUCCUGAUAUAUUGUGAGUAUCCUUUGUGGGUUAAUUAAUCUUACUCUGAAAAAAGGAGGCACGUUGAUUUCCUUCUGUGGGAUAGUGAUUACUUAUGUCAUUUUGAGUAUCUAAAUCUUUGUAUUCACAUUUUUUUCA